AUUGAACGCUGGCGGCAGGCCUAACACAUGCAAGUCUCACGAGUGGCGGACGGGUGAGUCAUGUCUGGGACACUGCCUGAUGGAGGGGGAUAACUACUGGAAACGGUAGCUAAUACCGCAUACCAUCGGAUGUGCCCAUCUUGGAUUAGCUAGUAGGUGGGGUAACGGCUCACCUAGGCGACGAGCCAUAGCUGGUCUGAGAGGAUUACCAGCCAAACUGGAACUGAGACACGGUCCAGACUCCUACGGGAGGCAGCAGUGGGGAAUAUGGCACAAUGGGCGCAAGCCUGAUGCAGCCAUGCAGCGUGUAUGAAGAAGGCCUUCGGGUUGUAAAGUACUGUCAGCGGGGAGGCGUGACCCGCAGAAGAAGCACCGGCUAACUCCGUGCCAGCCGCCGCGGUAAUUC
rnacentral:rRNA from 1 species